rnacentral:misc_RNA from 1 species
GAUGAAGAACGUAGCGAAAUGCGAUAAGUAAUGUGAAUUGCAGAAUUCAGUGAAUCAUCGAAUCUUUGAACGCACAUUGCGCCCUUUGGUAUUCCUUAGGGCAUGCCUGUUCGAGCGUCAUUUAAACCUUCAAGCUAAGCUUGGUGUUGGGUGACUGUCCGCUUCACUGCGGACUCGCCUCAAAAUUAUUGGCGGCCGGUACAUUGGCUUCGAGCGCAGCAGAAACGCGAACUCGGGCCCGUCGUAUUGGCUCCCAGAAGCUAUCUUCACAAUUUUGACCUCGGAUCAGGUAGGGAUACCCGCUGAACUUAAGCAUAUCAAUAAGCGGAGGA